AAGAGCAGGGGAGUGAGGUUAGAUUGAGAGGUGAGAACACAAGUGGGAAAGUGUGUUUGCUGAAUCUGGAGGAUGGAUACAGGUUUAAGAGGGCUCGCUUCACUGUUCUGUCUACUUUUAUAUACGUUAGAAUUUCUCGAAAUAUGAUGUUAAAACAAAGAAGUAACUUUUAAACGUGUUUCAGAUAGCUAAAUGCUAAAUUAGGAUUUAACAUCUUACUUUGGAUUUAACAUCUUACUUUGGCAGGCCAAAUACUGCAUACACUGGUUCACUUUGAAUGUUAAUGAAGUGGCUGGUAGCAGAAAGCUUUUAGAUGCCUUCAGGGUGGGGCUAAUUGCCAG
rnacentral:lncRNA from 1 species